rnacentral:rRNA from 1 species
GGAUGAACGCUGGCGGUCUGCUUAACACAUGCAAGUCGAACGGGCUCUUCGGAGCUAGUGGCGGACGGGUGAGUAACGCGUGAGGAUCUGCCCUUAGGACGGGGACAACAGUUGGAAACGACUGCUAAUACCCGAUGUGCCGAGAGGUGAAACUAUUUGGCCUGAGGAUGAGCUCGCGUCUGAUUAGCUAGUUGGAGUGGUAACGGCACACCAAGGCGACGAUCAGUAGCUGGUCUGAGAGGAUGAUCAGCCACACUGGGACUGAGACACGGCCCAGACUCCUACGGGAGGCAGCAGUGGGGAAUUUUCCGCAAUGGGCGAAAGCCUGACGGAGCAAGACCGCGUGCGGGAGGAAGGUCUAUUGACUGUAAACCGCUUUUGAUAGGGAAGAAGAACUGACGGUACCUAACGAAUCAGCAUCGGCUAACUCCGUGCCAGCAGCCGCGGUAAUACGGGGGAUGCAAGCGUUAUCCGGAAUUAUUGGGCGUAAAGCGUCCGCAGGUGGUUUAUCAAGUCUGCUGUCAAAGCGUGGGGCUUAACCCCAUACAGGCAGUGGAAACUGAGAGACUAGAGUACGGUAGGGGUAGCGGGAAUUCCCAGUGUAGCGGUGAAAUGCGUAGAUAUUGGGAAGAACACCAGCGGCGAAGGCGCGCUACUGGGCCGAAACUGACACUCAUGGACGAAAGCUAGGGGAGCGAAAGGGAUUAGAUACCCCUGUAGUCCUAGCUGUAAACGAUGACAAUUAGGUGUUGCACGUAUCGACCCGUGCAGUUCCGUAGCUAACGCGUUAAGUUGNCCGCCUGGGGAGUACGCACGCAAGUGUGAAACUCAAAGGAAUUGUCGGGGACCCGCACAAGCGGUGGAGUAUGUGGUUUAAUUCGAUGCAACGCGAAGAACCUUACCAGGGCUUGACAUGUCGCGAAUCCUUGCGAAAGUAGGGAGUGCCUUCGGGAGCUCGAACACAGGUGGUGCAUGGCUGUCGUCAGCUCGUGUCGUAAGAUGUUGGGUUAAGUCCCGCAACGAGCGCAACCCUCGUUUCUAGUUGCCAUCAUUAAGUUGGGCACUYUAGAGAGACUGCCGGUGACAAACCGGAGGAAGGUGUGGAUGACGUCAAGUCAGCAUGCCCCUUACAUCCUGGGCUACACACGUACUACAAUGCUACGGACAGAGGGUUGCGAGCAUGCGAAUGCAAGCUAAUCCCGUAAACCGUGGCUCAGUUCAGAUUGCAGGCUGCAACUCGCCUGCAUGAAGGCGGAAUCGCUAGUAAUCGCAGGUCAGCAUACUGCGGUGAAUACGUUCCCGGGCCUUGUACACACCGCCCGUCACACCAUGGGAGUUGGCCACGACCGAAGUCGUUACUCCAACCGUUCGCGGAGGAGGACGCCGAAGGCAGGGCUGAUGACUGGGGUGAAGUCGUAACAAGGUAGCCGUACCGGAAGGUGUAGCUGGAUCACCUCCUUU